rnacentral:tRNA from 1 species
GUUACUGUAGCUUAAACCUAAAGCGCGGCCCUGAAGUUGCCGUGACGGACCCCCUAACACUCCCGGAAACA